CAGGGGGUAUUUUAUUGAAAAUGUUAGUUUUGGAGACUAAUGAAAUGGUGUUAAUGCCUUUCCUCUGA
rnacentral:tRNA from 1 species